ACUGUUUCGGCUAGGGGGCCAUCCCGGCUUACCAACCCGAUGCAAACUGCGAAUACCGGAGAAUGUUAUCACGGGAGACACACGGCGGGUGCUAACGUCCGUCGUGAAGAGGGAAACAACCCAGACCGCCAGCUAAGGUCCCAAAGUCAUGGUUAAGUGGGAAACGAUGUGGGAAGGCCCAGACAGCCAGGAUGUUGGCUUAGAAGCAGCCAUCAUUUAAAGAAAGCGUAAUAGCUCACUGGUCGAGUCGGCCUGCGCGGAAGAUGUAACGGGGCUAAACCAUGCACCGAAGCUGCGGCAGCGACACUCAGGUGUUGUUGGGUAGGGGAGCGUUCUGUAAGCCUGCGAAGGUGGCCUGUGAGGGUUGCUGGAGGUAUCAGAAGUGCGAAUGCUGACAUAAGUAACGAUAAAGCGGGUGAAAAGCCCGCUCGCCGGAAGACCAAGGGUUCCUGUCCAACGUUAAUCGGGGCAGGGUGAGUCGACCCCUAAGGCGAGGCCGAAAGGCGUAGUCGAUGGGAAACGGGUUAAUAUUCCCGUACUUGGUGUUACUGCGAAGGGGGGACGGAGAAGGCUAUGUUGGCCGGGCGACGGUUGUCCCGGUUUAAGCGUGUAGGUGUGUGUUCCAGGUAAAUCCGGUUCACUUUAACACUGAGGCGUGAUGACGAGGCACUACGGUGCUGAAGCAACAAAUGCCCUGCUUCCAGGAAAAGCCUCUAAGCAUCAGGUAACAUCAAAUCGUACCCCAAACCGACACAGGUGGUCAGGUAGAGAAUACCAAGGCGCUUGAGAGAACUCGGGUGAAGGAACUAGGCAAAAUGGUGCCGUAACUUCGGGAGAAGGCACGCUGACACGUAGGUGAAGUGAUUUACUCAUGGAGCUGAAGUCAGUCGAAGAUACCAGCUGGCUGCAACUGUUUAUUAAAAACACAGCACUGUGCAAACACGAAAGUGGACGUAUACGGUGUGACGCCUGCCCGGUGCCGGAAGGUUAAUUGAUGGGGUCAGCGCAAGCGAAGCUCCUGAUCGAAGCCCCGGUAAACGGCGGCCGUAACUAUAACGGUCCUAAGGUAGCGAAAUUCCUUGUCGGGUAAGUUCCGACCUGCACGAAUGGCGUAAUGAUGGCCAGGCUGUCUCCACCCGAGACUCAGUGAAAUUGAACUCGCUGUGAAGAUGCAGUGUACCCGCGGCAAGACGGAAAGACCCCGUGAACCUUUACUAUAGCUUGACACUGAACAUUGAGCCUUGAUGUGUAGGAUAGGUGGGAGGCUUUGAAGUGUGGACGCCAGUCUGCAUGGAGCCGGCCUUGAAAUACCACCCUUUAAUGUUUGAUGUUCUAACGUGGACCCGUGAUCCGGGUUGCGGACAGUGUCUGGUGGGUAGUUUGACUGGGGCGGUCUCCUCCUAAAGAGUAACGGAGGAGCACGAAGGUUGGCUAAUCCUGGUCGGACAUCAGGAGGUUAGUGCAAUGGCAUAAGCCAGCUUGACUGCGAGCGUGACGGCGCGAGCAGGUGCGAAAGCAGGUCAUAGUGAUCCGGUGGUUCUGAAUGGAAGGGCCAUCGCUCAACGGAUAAAAGGUACUCCGGGGAUAACAGGCUGAUACCGCCCAAGAGUUCAUAUCGACGGCGGUGUUUGGCACCUCGAUGUCGGCUCAUCACAUCCUGGGGCUGAAGUAGGUCCCAAGGGUAUGGCUGUUCGCCAUUUAAAGUGGUACGCGAGCUGGGUUUAGAACGUCGUGAGACAGUUCGGUCCCUAUCUGCCGUGGGCGCUGGAGAACUGAGGGGGGCUGCUCCUAGUACGAGAGGACCGGAGUGGACGCAUCACUGGUGUUCGGGUUGUCAUGCCAAUGGCACUGCCCGGUAGCUAAAUGCGGAAGAGAUAAGUGCUGAAAGCAUCUAAGCACGAAACUUGCCCCGAGAUGAGUUCUCCCUGAGACUUUAGGUCUCCUGAAGGAACGUUGAAGACGACGACGUUGAUAGGCCGGGUGUGUAAGCGCAGCGAUGCGUUGAGCUAACCGGUACUAAUGAACCGUGAGGCUUAACCUUACA
rnacentral:rRNA from 1 species